rnacentral:tRNA from 3 species
GCGGGCAUGGCGGAAUUGGCAGACGCGCAAGAUUUAGGUUCUUGUGGACUUUUGUCCGUGGAGGUUCGAGCCCUCUUGCCCGCACCA